rnacentral:sRNA from 1 species
UAAAUCCCCAACCCCACCUGCGUUCUUUUUCAGGAUCUACUGCCACCUUUUCCUGGUGAAGGUCUUCAGAUUCAAUAGCUGUGGUUCCUGCUGCUCUUAAAAACCACUGAGAAAAUUUGUCACAGAAACCAGAUAAGAAAGCUGGAUAAAAAGAUCAUCCUAAGUUGACUGUUUACAGAGACUAAUAAAAGACAGAGAUUAUUCUUGUGGAUGGAAAUCAGAAAGUAGAUGUCUCUGUUCGAGUGGAAUUGAGUGGAAAAUGGAGCGAGGCACCUUCCUGAGAUUGAAAUGAAGAAGUUAGAGCUCAACACAGAGAAGACCCACUACAUCAAGACUUCAUUAAAAUCUCCAGUUCUUUCCAACUUAUACUGCAAUUACUAACUUAAUGAACAAAGAUCCAGGCAUUGAGGCAUAUGUCUGUAGUUCUGGCACCAAGGAGGCAGAAGAACACCAGACUCAGAGAGCACCUUGAGAUUCAUGGAGAAUGAGAAGUGGGAACAGAAAGGCCAUCACUAACCUACUGGCUCAGAAGAAUGCUAGGACCAAGUCCAGAGAGAGAUUCAUUCUGAAGUUCUGGCACAAUGAAGGAGCUGCUUCCCUUUCCCAACUGUACGUUCGUGAUUACUCUGUGAAACAAGCUCUUCAAUACACUCCCUAUUUCCACUCCUGGGUUAUGCUACCCACUAAAUUGUAUUUUCAACAAAAUAUCUCCC